CAUACUGCUCUCACGCUGACCCUGUCCCAGAACCCGCUCACCGAGCUAUUCAAAUCCAUCUGCUUCCAGCCCAGUGCUGUCAAGGCGAGCUACCUUCCGACCAUGCCAAGCGACCUUCUCUUUGAUGUGACGAAUUGGAAAAACACUGCCACGGCAGAUACACUGUGGAGAUGCCAAUGCGGGCAGUACUGGAGCAUUGAAAAUUGUGGACGGCCCUGGGUUAUUAUCAAGUGUCGGUGUGGCUCCGAGGUCGGUGGGACUAAUCACAACCCCGUGGAGGGAUUUGAGGAAGU